GUCACGAUAGCUCAAGUGGUAGAGCAGCGGCGUGUCAAGCUGAAGAUCGUGGGUUCGAAUCCCGCUCGUGCCA
rnacentral:tRNA from 1 species